GACUGGGGUGGUUGUCUAUUUAUCCAGCAGUAACCAAUCAUUCCUUCCAGUCUCUCAGUUCAAGGAGAGCCCCUCCUCUUUGCUGAGUGUUUCUUUCCUCUCUCAUUUGUCUGUUGGAAGCUGUUUUUGUAGGUUGCUGUAGAUCUGUUUACGAUUGUAAAUAAUGAAAUGUUUUUUAUUCUCUCUACUACAGUAUGAAUGUCUCAGAAUAAGUUAUUAUUGAGACUUUAAAUGCCAGUUAAUGAGAAAGGGUUAGGCUGUCUGGGAAACCUUUGUGAGUAUUUCUACCACAAAGAAAAAGGAAUUUUUACCAGAAAUACAAAACUCUGCAACAGAGUGAAGGUGCAAUUCAAGUAGUAUCAAAGGAAUUGGGUACUUGGCUGCAGAAUCAGAGGUUUCAUUCCCCACUUCUGGGAGAAGAUACAGCCUGUGUGGAAUUUGUGUGGGAUUUGGCAAGAGUCCCAGGAUGCCCUUGGAGAAGAAGGAAACGGUGAACCACUUCUGAGUAUUCUCUAGCUAGAAAACCAUGGAAAGGAUCAUUAAUAUUCAGAAUCAACUUGACAUUAUUUAAUGAUGAUAAUGAUGAUUAUUAUACAGGAGUAUAAGGGGACUGCAGAGAAGCGGAAUUAAUCCUUUGUGUCUCUCUUCAUUGCAGUGGGUGUAGGAUAGAUAUGUGCCUGAUUUCAGGAAGAAGCUAUGAAAACCUGAGUUAAAAACUAGUGAAAAGGAGAUAAAUCUUGGUGCUUUAUAUGCCUAGUGAAAUGAUGGGACUUUCUACCCUUUUCCUUACUCUGCAGUCUUCAAUGUCACCCAAAAUCCUGGUUUUCAAGCCUUCUGGAAACAGAUGUUUGUGGCACUCUAAAAAGCACCCCAUUCCAGUUUCACCAGAAUGGCCCUAUUGGAUUCAUGAACCAAGCUGGAGGCAUCUUCCUCCAUUGGUCAUGACACACAUUCCAAGCUUGGUCAACAAGUCACCACUGGCUGAAUCACAUCAAAGUGUUGUUCUCCAGACAGAGACAGCCAUACUGCCAGUGGGACCUUUCUCUUCUCAGAGAUUCCUUCUUGAAAGUGACACCCAUUGUUUCCACGAUAGGUGACUGACAGGGUCACUUGCUACUGGAAGAAGGUAAAUAGCAAUUACUACUUAAUGAGCUUUUCAGAUUAUUUUUUUAAAAAAACAGUCUUUGCUUCCCUUUUUAGGCACUGAAGAUCAAAUACUGUAUAUGUUAGUAUUCUAAGUUGAAGAGGAAAAGAUAUUUCACUGCAUUUUAAAAACACAAACACAAUGCUCACCUCAAUUAUUUGUAAGUCAAAAGAGCAUCAAGCUGGAACCCUGACUUUGCAUGUGGGAAGUGAUAACAGCAGCAGCAAAAAAGUCUUUCAUUCUCUGAAAGCAGAAACGGCAAACAACUGGGGGUGAAAACUGAGCCUAGCUGGGAGAGAUUAAUGAGAAGCUAAAUAAUUGACAAAGUUCUGUGUCCUUGUUUGACUAGGAAUUAGAUAAAUUAACCUAUAAAAAAACAAAGAAGCAAUGAGGCAGAAGAACAAACACAUAAACAGAACACAAAUAGGACAGACAGUCAACAGGGAAGCAGAAGGA
rnacentral:lncRNA from 1 species